AGAGUUUGAUCCUGGCUCAGAAUGAACGUUGGCGGCGUGGAUUAGGCAUGCAAGUCGAACGGGCCUGGUCUUCGGAUCAGGUCAGUGGCGCAAGGGUGAGUAAGGCGACGGCAACCAACCCCAUGGUUGGGCAUAGCCGCGGGAAACUGCGGGUAAUUCCCAGCGAAGUUCGUGUCGGGCAUCCGAUGCGAACCAAAGUU
rnacentral:rRNA from 1 species